rnacentral:lncRNA from 1 species
CGCACUGUCUUGGUGCGUGCCGCCGUGCCGCCGUGCCGCCGUUGGGGGUGGGGGCCGGGGCGAGUCGUGUCCGGCCUGUGCGCGUGCCGGGAGCGACAGUGCCCGGCGUGGGAGAGCGGGCGUGCGGGCGGCCUCAGCCUGGAGUCGCCGUGACAGGGGUGCCAGACCUCCCCGCGUGCUCCUCGCAUUUUCUCUACGCCUGUCGCCCUGUUUGUUUUUUGUUCCCGUCCACCCUCGAGACCGUGCUUCACGAGGUCGAGGCGCGAUGAGUUAUUUUAAGUAGAUGAUUUCAUGACCUUUGAUGUUUGACUGACUUUGUCAUGUGCUAUGGGUUUUAUAUGGAUGCUGUUUCUUGGUGAAGGUUCACGGUGAACACACGUGUGUAACAGCUAAAGAAAAAAAGGGCUUGGGAUCAGUUGACGUUCUGAUGCCUUGAAUCAGUGAAGGUUACUUAGAAAAAGAAUUAUUUCGCUAGUGAAAAAGAGGACAUGGGCGAGUUUAAAGAGUUGACGGGUCGAGGCAGAUUCAAGAGCUGAGCUGUCCAGUAAGAUGGUCACUAACGACUGGAUAAGUUUCUCAGUUGUACUAGCCACAUUUCAGGAGCUCAGUGACCUCUUUAUUGGACAGUGCAGAUUAUAUAUAGCCCAUUCCCAGCAUCGCAGAAAGUUAUAUUGGACAGUGCUGAUUUAGAUAGUGGGGAAUUGUUUUAUACUGGUCAUCCAGGCCUUUGUAAGUGCUGCUAGGUCGUGGUUAAUCACGUUAGUCCUCUAGACACAGGUAAUUCUAAUGUAUUACUGGGUAUGGGUGUACUUGUUAGUAGUCAGCUUUACCAACAAGUAAUAUGCCUACACCAUGUAAGGCUUUUGUUUUGGGGACAGAGUGAAAGCAAUAGUUAACAAUUACCAAGUAAUUAGGAGCCGGGCCGCUUUAUAUGCAUCCUUUUAUGAUUCCUUACAAGUUUAUGACGCAGGUGGUAUUUUUUUCCAGUUGUGUGGCGUUUUUGCCCAUU